rnacentral:rRNA from 1 species
UACGUAGGGUGCAGGCGUUAAUCGGAAUUACUGGGCGUAAAGCGUGCGCAGGCGGUUUGCUAAGACAGGUGUGAAAUCCCCGGGCUUAACCUGGGAAUUGCAUCCGAUACUGGAUGGCUUGAAUCCGGGAGAGGGAUGCGGAAUUCCAGGUGUAGCGGUGAAAUGCGUAGAUAUCUGGAGGAACACCGGUGGCGAAGGCGGCAUCCUGGACCGGCAUUGACGCUGAGGAGCGAAAGCCAGGGGAGCAAACGGG